GGAGACUUAGCUUAGCAGCAAGGCGUCUGCCUGGCAAGCACACGGUCCUGAGCUUGAUUCUCAGUACCACCA
rnacentral:tRNA from 1 species